AGAGUUUGAUCCUGGCUCAGAAUCAACGCUGGCGGCGUGCCUCAGACAUGCAAGUCGAACGCGAAAGUCCCCUUCGGGGGACAAGUAGAGUGGCGCACGGGUGAGUAACACGUAGGUAAUCUACCUUCGGAUGGGGAAUAACAAUCGGAAACGGUUGCUAAUACCGCAUAAUGCAGCGGCACCUAAUGGUGACAGUUGUUAAAGCGGGGGAUCGAAAGACCUCGCGUCUGAAGAGGAGCCUGCGGCGGAUUAGCUAGUUGGUAAGGUAACGGCUUACCAAGGCGACGAUCCGUAGCCGGCCUGAGAGGGCGGUCGGCCACACUGACACUGACAUACGGGUCAGACUCCUACGGGAGGCAGCAGUCGGGAAUUUUGGGCAAUGGGCGAAAGCCUGACCCAGCAACGCCGCGUGAAGGAUGAAAUCCCUCGGGAUGUAAACUUCGCAAGAACGGGAAGAAUAAGUGGGGGACAAUACCCCUUACGAUGACGGUACCGUUUGUAAGCUCCGGCUAACUCCGUGCCAGCAGCGGCGGUAAUAC
rnacentral:rRNA from 1 species